rnacentral:rRNA from 1 species
CCAGACUCCUACGGGAGGCAGCAGUGGGGGAUAUUGCACAAUGGGGGGAACCCUGAUGCAGCGACGCCGCGUGGGUGAAGAAGCGCCUCGGCGCGUAAAGCCCUGUCAGCAGGGAAGAAAAUGACGGUACCUGAAGAAGAAGCCCCGGCUAACUACGUGCCAGCAGCCGCGGUAAUACGUAGGGGGCAAGCGUUAUCCGGAUUUACUGGGUGUAAAGGGGGCGCAGACGGCGAUGCAAGCCAGGAGUGAAAGCCCGGGGCCCAACCCCGGGACUGCUCUUGGAACUGGCAAACUGGAGUGUGUGAGAGGAUAGUGGAAUUCCAGGUGUAGGAGUGAAAUCCGUAGAUAUCUGGAGGAACAUCAGUGGCGAAGGCGACUAUCUGGCACAUAACUGACGCUGAGGAGCGAAAGCGUGGGUAGCAAACAGGAUUAGAUACCCCAGUAC